CAAACGUAAGAAGAAAAUGAUUACUGUCACCUUCGUGGCUGUCAUUACCGAUCUUGGCCUCCUGAGCCCUGUCUCUCUGUCGAGCUGGUUGGCCCCGCCCCACCAGGCAAGACGCAGAAGGCGGCAGCCCCGACGUCUGGCAGUUUGCUUUCUGGGGUUUAUUACAAAACUUUGGGCCAGAAAUUCCUCCCUUCAUGGAUCAAGCAACGGAGCUCGUCCUACUGAAGCUGGGGCUUUGGAAUCAUAGGACUUCGGUUUGAAUCCCAGAUCACCCAGUUUUUAGCUGAGGGGUUUGAGACAGUGUCUUUACAGUUGGAGACUCAUUCCCUCAUCCGUAAAAUGGAGACCAAAAUACUACCUUCCUCCUAAAGCUUGUGAGGAUUAAAUGAGAUCACCCGUGUGAAGAGCUUAGCAUGGAACCUGGUUCAUAAGGAGUUGUUACUACUAUCAAUAUUACUAUUAUCAUUAUUAGUUCCUGGCAGAACCAGACCUAGAAUCCAGGCCCUCUUACUCUAGGGGGACGUCCUGAGCUGGGAGGAGGAGCUGGUCCAGCUUCAUGGCAGGCUUCAAAGCUUUGCGUGAGCUUUCCUUUCAUCCUCCCGGAGGCCUUUGCUCCUUUGAGGAGUCCUCAGGCAAUUCUGGAAAUAGGGCCAGCUCAAAGGGUCCUCCGAGCAGUUGGGAUUGAACCAGCUUCUCCAGGCAGAGCUCCUGGCAUGAGGCCACACCAGGAGGCUGAGUCACUUGGGCAAUGACUCAGCCACACCCACCAUGAACUCUCAAUGACUCGAGGAGAAGAAUGGCAUGGAUAAUCUAGAAAAAAUGGACAGUGGGAAAGAACUCCAGUGCUCUCAUGGAGUGCACGGAUCAUGAUUUGCUGCACUGGGGGAGCCGCUGGAUGGAUUCAUUCAUUAUAGUCUCGUCUCUGGCUGAUACUAAAUCUACUUGUUCCUGAGAGCACCUGCGGCCAUCAUGACAGGCUCAGUAUCACAGGGCCUAGUGAAAGAAACUCCCUCUGGCCAAGGACAACAGAAUAAAAACGUAACUGAGUCCCAGAUAUGCUAGUGUUUUCCACCAUUGCAUCUCUAAGAUAUCAACAGGACCUGGAAAGAUGAGAGUGAGUUCACUGUCCCCCCAUGGGCUGAGGUUGCUGGAAUGCUGGAACAGAGAGAAACUGGGAGGUUUUAGAAUGCUCUGGCUUCAGAAUGAAGGGAGCAGAGUGACGAGUGCUGCAAGCUGCAUGGAGCGGCCAAUUGAAAAAGCUAUCGAAGUCAGAACAGCACUGGAAGCGUUGACCCUGAAGAUGCAUGCCUGGAGAGAGGAUUUUUUUCUCUUUUUUUGCACUUUUUAUUGCAGUAAUGCAGGGACAUUCUGUGAGUAGAAUCCAGGGGGCCAUCAAGCCUGCGUUCAGGUGGCUGUGCGGGAAGGGGUUUUGAUCCUGUUCUGAGAAAGCUGUCUUGGGGCCCAGGCAGAGAGCACAUUACUGUGUUAGAGCCUUGAGUGGUUAAGAGAAAGUUCUUGGUUGAAUUGGGAAAGGGACCUGUAAAUAGCUGUAAAAUCCUGAACUAGCCGUGCCUCCUUCUGUGCUAGAUGCAGUCCUGGAGGCAGAGGCGCAGGCGACUCGAGGUCAAACCACUUCUGCUGCUAACUUGGGCAAAUCACACCACCUCUCUGCACCUGUCGGUGAGAGGCUUGGCCUAAAUGGUAUGUCAGCCUCUCCUAGUCUCAGUUGUCUCCCAUUUGUGGAUGCCAUUUCAGGGAUAGAGAAAUCGGAGACUAUUGAUAAAGACUGCAAAAGUGCAGAUUUGCUCAUAACAUGGAAACUCUCAGAGAGCUAGUCCCUACCAGGGAAGGAUGGAGUGGUCUGCCCUGGGCGCUAGGAAUAAGGAAGAGCAUUGUUGAUGGAGAAUUUUAAAACAAUAAUGAAACCAAGGAAAAGUCAGUCUGCUUUUUAGGAUCACCACGCAUGGACAAUUCUAAGCAAUGUCAGGAAUAAAAUACUCCUCCUCACCUGGGUGGACCACUCCCACCAUCCCCCUCCUUGGUUUGCCACUGUUUACCUGAACAAUUCUCUUUUUAUUCAGUGCUCUUUCAAUUCCUCUGACUACAAAGGGGGAGAAAUUCGCUAUGGUGUUAACUCUUUCAUUACCACCCCUUAGUGUUGAUUUGUCUCCAGUAAAGAAGAGUGAUGAGUUACUUUGAGACACAGCAGUGGACCGGAGUGCAACCAAGGAAGCAGGAACAAUAAAAAUGGAGAGAAAAGAAGAUGGAGUGAGGUGUGGAAUGUGUUGAGUAGUGGCUUAGAAAGUGAAGCCCUGAACACAUGGUCUAUGGCCAGGAUGGGGACAGCUCCCCGAAGGCCCAGGUCAGGCUGGACAUGUGGUGCCUAAGAACAGACUGCAGCUGCAUCUCCCUUCUGCUUUCUCAGAUCCCUGGCACUCUGGAGCUUUCCUUUGCGGCACUGUAGAUGCAUUUCUUAGAAGUGAUCUGCUCUGCACUCCUCAUGUCACACCACCCACCAUCCUCCUUUGGGUUGGAUUUCCUUCUCACUGUGUCCCAGUGUCUAGAAUAUGAAGGGACUUUGCCACCCCUCUGGGGACUUGCAUAUCCUGCAUUGAUGCCUCUCUUCUGUAGGCUUGGUCCCCUUGGUGCCCAACCUCCUGCUUGAUGGUGUUGCUUUGGGGUGUGUUCACAUUCUCCAAGGAGCCCUUCCCGAAAGCAGUAAAAAUAACCUGU
rnacentral:lncRNA from 1 species